GUAAAUAUGGUUUAAUCAAAAUGUAGGGUUGUGAUCCCUAAGAUGGGGGUUAAACCCCUCCUAUUUACC
rnacentral:tRNA from 1 species